rnacentral:rRNA from 1 species
AGAGUUUGAUCCUGGCUCAGAUUGAACGCUGGCGGUAUGCUUAACACAUGCAAGUCGAACGGAAACGAUACUAGCUUGCUAGUAGGCGUCGAGUGGCGGACGGGUGAGUAACGCGUAGGAAUCUGCCUGAUAGUGGGGGAUAGCCCGAAGAAAUUCGGAUUAAUACCGCAUAAUCUAUUCGUAGUAAAGUGGGGGACUUUCGAGCCUCACGCUAUCAGAUGAGCCUGCGUAAGAUUAGCUAGUUGGUAGGGUAAAAGCCUACCAAGGCUACGAUCUUUAGCUGGUCUGAGAGGAUGAUCAGCCACAUCGGGACUGAGACACGGCCCGAACUCCUACGGGAGGCAGCAGUGGGGAAUAUUGGACAAUGGGGGCAACCCUGAUCCAGCAAUACCGCGUGUGUGAAGAAGGCCUGAGGGUUGUAAAGCACUUUCAAUUGUGAAGAAAAGUUAACGGUUAAUAACCGUUAGCCUUGACGUUAACUUUAGAAGAAGCACCGGCUAACUCCGUGCCAGCAGCCGCGGUAAUACGGAGGGUGCAAGCGUUAAUCGGAAUUACUGGGCGUAAAGCGUGCGUAGGCGGUUUAUUAAGUCAGAUGUGAAAGCCCCGGGCUUAACCUGGGAACUGCAUUUGAAACUGGUCAACUAGAGUAUGGUAGAGGAAAGUGGAAUUUCUGGUGUAGCGGUGAAAUGCGUAGAUAUCAGAAGGAACAUCAAUGGCGAAGGCAGCUUUCUGGACCAAUACUGACGCUGAGGUACGAAAGCGUGGGUAGCAAACAGGAUUAGAUACCCUGGUAGUCCACGCCGUAAACGAUGAUAACUAGCCGUUGGGGGGAUUUACCCUUUAGUGGCGAAGCUAACGCGUUAAGUUAUCCGCCUGGGGAGUACGGCCGCAAGGUUAAAACUCAAAGGAAUUGACGGGGACCCGCACAAGCGGUGGAGCAUGUGGUUUAAUUCGAUGCAACGCGAAGAACCUUACCUGGUCUUGACAUCCUGCGAACUUUCUAGAAAUAGAUUGGUGCCUUCGGGAACGCAGUGACAGGUGCUGCAUGGCUGUCGUCAGCUCGUGUCGUGAGAUGUUGGGUUAAGUCCCGUAACGAGCGCAACCCCUAUCCUUAUUUGCCAGCACGUCAUGGUGGGAACUAUAAGGAGACUGCCGGUGAUAAACCGGAGGAAGGCGGGGACGACGUCAAGUCAUCAUGGCCCUUACGACCAGGGCUACACACGUGCUACAAUGGGAAGGACAAAGAGCCGCGAAGCCGCGAGGUGUAGCUAAUCUCAGAAACCUUUUCGUAGUCCGGAUUGGAGUCUGCAACUCGACUCCAUGAAGUCGGAAUCGCUAGUAAUCGUAGAUCAGAAUGCUACGGUGAAUACGUUCCCGGGUCUUGUACACACCGCCCGUCAUACCAUGGGAGUGGGUUGCACCAGAAGUGGCUAGUCUAACUUAGUGAGGACGGUCACCACGGUGUGAUUCAUGACUGGGGUAAAGUCGUAACAAGGUAACC